rnacentral:lncRNA from 1 species
CCAGGAAGUGUCAUCUCAAAUUCGGAGCCUACCAGGCUGCUGAGGUACUCCCUGUGCCGACUGUACAGAUCUCUGAACACACGCUGCUCGCGCUCCUCCUCCUCCUGCUGCACUUGCACAGAUGCAUUCUCAAUGGUGUAUUUCCACAACUCUCGCUUCUGUCCACCCAGCUCAAUCCAGUAGGCUCCUUUGCUGCCAGUAAAGUCAGGCUUCACUGUGAUCACCCCAUUGCUAUCCACCUUGAUUGUGCAAAGAACAUAUUCAUAUUCCCUCUGACCAAGCUUCCCAUAAGGUCCCAAGUCCCCCAUGAUGUACAUAGUCUGAACAGGAGUGUUAAUCACAUGGUUGUUCUUUAUAAAUUCUUCUGAGGGCUCCCAGGUGAUGAUUUUUGACUUGAGAGAACUCGCUUCUAGUGGCUUUCGGUCCUGUCUUCUCCUCCUCACAUUGGCCAUCCUCUCUGCCAGAUAUGAUGGCAUCUCACAGUCUGAG